rnacentral:rRNA from 1 species
CGUAAGGCGCCGAAUGAGUCAUUAAAAAAUUAACAUCAUCCGGUCCCUAGUCGGCAUAGUUUAUGGUUAAGACUACGACGGUAUCUGAUCGUUUUCGAUCCCCUAACUUUCGUUCUUGAUUAAUGAAAACAUCCUUGGCAAAUGCUUUCGCAGUAGUUAGUCUUCAAUAAAUCCAAGAAUUUCACCUCUGACAAUUGAAUACUAAUGCCCCCAACUAUCCCUAUUAAUCAUUACGUCGAUCCUAGAAACCAACAAAAUAGAAUCAAACGUACCUAUUUCAUUAUUCCAUGCUAAUGUAUUCAAGCGCGAGCCUGCUUUAAACACUC